UACGUAGGUGGCAAGCGUUGUCCGGAAUUAUUGGGCGUAAAGGGUGCGUAGGCGGUCUUUUAAGUGGGAUGUGAAAUACCUAGGCUUAACUUAGGAAUGGCAUUCCAAACUGGAAGACUAGAGUGCAGAAGAGAAGAGUGGAAUUCCACGUGUAGCGGUGAAAUGCGUAGAGAUGUGGAGGAACACCAGUGGCGAAGGCGACUUACUGGACUGUAACUGACGCUGAGUCACGAAAGCGUGGGUAGCAAAC
rnacentral:rRNA from 1 species